UUUCAAACCACCAUUCAAGGCUGCGUUUUCGAGCAAAUGCAAGAAAAUCUCCCAGCUGCAUCGCAUUAUUGGAGUCAACGCGACGCGGUUCUGGUGCAACGGACGAGGAGCUGCACGAAAGAGAACCACCCUUUCCAAAGGAGGAGAUGCGAUCCGCAGCUCAGCAUGAACCUCGCAGCAGCUCGUCCUCAACCAGAAGCUGCGAUGUUCCACCUCGAAGAAGGGCGAGGGCCGCUCCAGAGGAGACGUCAAGCCUUGUGGCCCAAGGAAUGGGGAAUGGAAGCACCACAUUUGUCAACACGACGUCGCCACGGAAGUCGGGUUCUUUGAUGAAUGUAGCGCCGCG